UCCGAUAUGGUGUAGUGGCCAACAUCAACAUGAUGCCCUCUCAUCUUUCUUCGAGAGGCAGGCAUAGCCCCGAGUUCGAUUCUCGGUUUCGGAA
rnacentral:tRNA from 1 species